rnacentral:rRNA from 1 species
ACACAUGCAGUCGAGCGGUAGAGAGAAGCUUGCUUCUCUUGAGAGCGGCGGACGGGUGAGUAAUACCUAGGAAUCUGCCUGAUAGUGGGGGAUAACGUUCGGAAACGGGCGCUAAUACCGCAUACGUCCUACGGGAGAAAGCAGGGGACCUUCGGGCCUUGCGCUAUCAGAUGAGCCUAGGUCGGAUUAGCUAGUUGGUGAGGUAAUGGCUCACCAAGGCUACGAUCCGUAACUGGUCUGAGAGGAUGAUCAGUCACACUGGAACUGAGACACGGUCCAGACUCCUACGGGAGGCAGCAGUGGGGAAUAUUGGACAAUGGGCGAAAGCCUGAUCCAGCCAUGCCGCGUGUGUAAAGAAGGUCUUCGGAUUGUAAAGCACUUUAAGUUGGGGGGAAGGGCAGUUACCUAAUACGUGAUUGUCUUGACGUUACCGACAGAAUAAGCACCGGCUAACUCUGUGCCAGCAGCCGCGGUAAUACAGAGGGUGCAAGCGUUAAUCGAAAUUACUGGGCGUAAAGCGCGCGUAGGUGGUUUGUUAAGUUGAAUGUGAAAUCCCCGGGCUCAACCUGGGAACUGCAUCCAAAACUGGCAAGCUAGAGUAUGGUAGAGGGUAGUGGAAUUUCCUGUGUAGCGGUGAAAUGCGUAGAUAUAGGAAGGAACACCAGUGGCGAAAGCGACUACCUGGACUGAUACUGACACUGAGGUGCGAAAGCGUGGGGAGCAAACAGGA